rnacentral:lncRNA from 1 species
UUAAGAAAUUGGAAAACCAGUUUAUCAUUAUGGCCCUAAGCCUCCUAGAUAACCUCAUAACAGAGCAUCAGUGAAACUAUCCAGGGUCAUCAGGAAGUUCUGGGUUGUUUUUUUUUUUCUUUUUUUUCCCCUCUUCCUUCCUUCCUUCUUUUCUUCCUUCCUUCUUUUUUUUUAGGCCCUCAGAUGGAGAAAUUCAGUUAAUCGUAUGCCUCAGACCAAGACACACUAUGAGCAUUGAUCUAGGUGUAAGGCUUUGUCUCCUGUACCUGAGGAUACUUCCAUCAAACCAAAGCUCGAGGCAACCUGGUGUCAGAGAUACCACAGCUGGAGAUGCGAUUUGCUGUGAUGGGUUGGGCCAUUUCAAGGAGUCAUCCUAUUUUCCUGGAAAUCUCUCAUGUACACAGGAGUUGAAAAUAUGAGGCUGAAAGAGAAUCCUUCUGUCAUGAUUGAAAUCACCUGGAACACUUGGCACUUUAUGUCUGUUUACUAAGCCGUGAAGACCAACGUACAAACAGUGUCACUGGGAAGUUCUUGUGAAGAAAAUGAAUACUGAGUAGAGUCUUCAAGAUUGUAGACUCUUCACACUGGUGAGAUAUGGCUUGAAGAGGAAGAAGGACUUUUCAAGCAGGGUGUAUAGCAUGUAUCAAAGCUAAAUGAUGAAGCAAAAAUAAGCUUUAUACGUAUGCAAACAUUG